UACAUUAAAAUACAUUAGUAUAUAUGAUAAAGAACUUGUCACAAACAUAGUGGAUCCUUCCCUAAUCAUAGAUGAAGAUUUAUUAGAGGAAGUAUGGGCGAUGGCUAUUGUUGCAAGAUCGUGCCUCAACCCCAAGCCUUCGAGGAGACCGUUAAUGAGAUAUAUCCUUAAAGCUUUGGAAAAUCCUUUGAAGGUAGUUAGGGAAGAACACACCAGCUCAGCAAGACUUAUGCCUCAACCCCAAGCCUUCAAGGAGACCGUUAAUGAGAUAUAUCCUUAAAGCUUUGGAAAAUCCUUUGAAGGUAGUUAGGGAAGAA
rnacentral:lncRNA from 1 species